ACUCAAAGGAAUUGACGGGGGCCCGCACAAGCAGCGGAGCGUGUGGUUUAAUUCGAUGCAACGCGCAGAACCUUACCCAGACUUGACAUGUAACUGCAAGCCCCGGAAACGGGGCCCUCUUCGGACGGUUACACAGAUGUUGCAUGGCUGUCGUCAGCUCGUGUCGUGAGAUGUUGGGUUAAGUCCCGCAACGAGCGCAACCCUCGUGCUAUGUUGCUGUUCAUAGCAGACUGCCGGUACAAGCCGGAGGAAGGUGGGGAUGACGUCAAGUCCGCAUGGCUCUUACGUCUGGGGCGACACACACGCUACAAUGGUCAGGACAGAGCGCAGCCACGGGGCGACCCGGAGCGAAUCGCAAAACCUGGUCUCAGUUCGGAUGGCAGGCUGCAACCCGCCUGCCUGAAGUCGGAGUUGCUAGUAACCGCGUGUCAGCAUAGCGCGGUGAAUAUGUUCCCGGGCCUUGUACACACCGCCCGU
rnacentral:rRNA from 1 species